UUUCAUUCCCAGGUCUUCUGAUUCCAAACACUUUAUAUUCGUCAGCUGUAGUUGGCCUGGAAGUCUUGUUUCCAGUACUCGCGAGGAAUCAAAUAAACAUUCUUGUAGUGAUCCAUCUGAAACACUGUGAGCUUUCCACAAGUAGAAGCUCUAUACCAAUGUCACCGCCCAUUCUAGCUCGUAGUCCCUGGAGCUCUAACACUCAACCAUUCCCGACGAGUGUUAUCGCACAGGCUCAUAGAGACACCUGUUGUCAUACUCCUCGCCGCUACUUGGUGGUGAAGCACAGCUUCUUAACCUCUUGCCACGCCCAUUCUACAACAGAGAAACUUUCAACUCAAGAUGUUGGAAUUUUUAAA